UACAGAGGUCUCAAGCGUUGUUCGGAUUCAUUGGGCGUAAAGGGUGUGUAGGUGGCGCGCUAAGUCGGGUGUGAAAUUUCGGAGCUUAACUCCGAAACUGCAUUUGAUACUGGCGUGCUUGAGGACUGGAGAGGAGACUGGAAUUCAUGGUGUAGCAGUGAAAUGCGUAGAGAUCAUGAGGAAGACCAGUGGCGAAGGCGGGUCUCUGGACAGUUCCUGACACUGAGGCACGAAGGUCAGGGGAGCAAACGGG
rnacentral:rRNA from 1 species